AAAAAAAAAAAAAAAAGAAAAAACAUAAUAACGUGACUCCAAUACCAGUCGACGUUCCGAUACCCAAUCCCCAAAAUCGACAUCUUCAAUCGAUCGCGUCUAUCAUCUCGUCUUCGAUUUCGGCCGUAGUCGACGCCGGUGGCUCCAAUUCCGGCAAUCCGCCUCCAUCACAGAAGAUUCCGACGAGUACUCCACUGCAGAAAACACGACGGCCACCCAAUUUCUUGGCUGAUUGACCUGAUUUCUUGGUUGAUUUCUUCGUUUCUGGCCAUAGACGACCUCGGUUGUAGCUUGAUUUCUUAUAAGUCUGACUCCUCUUUUGAUUUUCAAUUUCAACUAGUUAACUUUGGAUUGAUUCCUAUUAUUAUUGCUACUACAUUCAACUAUUAUUUGUUUAUUUGCAAACUAUUAUUCCACUUGAUUCCUAUUUUGAUUUACAAUUGUAAUUUGCUUAUUUGCAAUUGUUAUUCUACAUUUAAUUUCUACUUUGAUUUACGGUUGUUAUUUGCUUCAACAUUCAUAUUUUGGAGCAAUCUUAUGAUUGAAAAUAUGUUUUGUUCUCAUUUAUUAGAUGGAGGUUGUUACAAUACUUUGUUAUUGGGUUGGGACAACCUCUAAUGGACAAGAUGGUAUAAAUUAUAGCAAAGCUCCAAGAAGAGCAAUCAAUGUUAACCGUAGAAUACAAUUUGAUGAAUUGGUCGACCGUAUAUAUCUUGCUACAUCUUUUGAUAAACAACACCACCGCAUCAACUUAAUCUGUAGAUAUCCAUCGGUUGGUAUUGGAAAUGUUGUAAAAUACAUUCCUCUUCCCAUCAAAGAUAAUGAUGAUGUUGGCAUCAUGUUUGAUGUGCUUCGUGUCUAUCAAGAAGUAAGUAACAUUGAUCUAUUUAGAGGUUGAAGACAUUGACCAAAUUCAACACAUAGAGAUGGAAUCUAGAAAUCAUGAACAAGUUGUGCUAGAAGAGCAAAGGAACAAUGAAUUACUAUUACCUAACACGAACCAUGCUAAUGUCAUAUCAGAUAUGAUCAGUGGCGGACCUUAGUGGUGCCUCAGGGGUCCCGGGCCACUGCUCGACGCCGGCACGUAGUUGUCACCCCUACGAAAAUGUUCUGCGUCCGCUACUGGAUAUGAUUCAGAAUGAAGAUUUCUACACAAUUUCUCAAGCUGCUGUUGUGAGUAAUGGAAUAAUUAGUGACAAUGAAAUUGAUGAAGAAGAUGACAUUGGAGAAGAAUAUGAUGAAGAAAAUGAAUCAUAUGCUAGUAGAAAAUGAAUCAUAUGCUAGUUGGAAUUGGUUUCUUUCUUAUAUCAAGAGUCAUGUGGUGAAAGAGCGUGAAGACAUUUGUUUAAUAUCUGAUCGUCAUUUGGGAAUCCUAAAGGUAGUCAAUGAGCAUGGAUCUCCAUGGUUAGAGCCACGUGGUUUUCAUAGGUAUUGUUUACGACAUUUUAUCAACAACUUUAAUGACAAGUUUCGUAAUUCAGAAUUGAAAGCUUUAGCUUAUCGUGUCGGGAGUCAGAAUCAAGUUCGAAAAUUCAACUCGAUCAUGGAAGAAAUUGGGAAGCUAAAUCAACAAGCUCGACAGUGGCUAGAGAGGCAUCCACUUGAUAGAUUGACACUUGCACAUGAUGGUGGGAGGAGAUAUGGGCUUCUCACAACAAAUUUGUCAGAGUUUUUUAAUAGUGUACUUAAAGGUGCUCGUUUUUUUACCAAUCAUAGCUUGUGUCCAACUUACUUUCUAUAGAUUGGUACAUUAUUUUGAAGUGAGGCAUCCUUUAGGAUCUAGUGCCCAAGCUAAAGGAGAUGCAUAUACUCUUCAAGUUGUUGUAAAACAAGUGGUUUUGAUGUCAAAAGCAAGUGCACACUCAUUGAGAUCUUUUAAUCGAGAGAAAGAUAUAUUUGAGUUGAUAACUCAAAGAGGAAAAAAUAUGCAAGUAGUUAAUUUAGACAAAAAAAAACUUACACAUGUGAAUAUUGUUCUACUUGGGCAUCCGAGUUUUCCCCACUUCCUCAUGAAGCGUAUUGGCCACAAUCUUCAUCUAGACAAUUGCUUCCAAAUUUAGAGCUUUUACGGAAUAAAAAAGGUCGUCCUCGCUCAACAAGACUACGAAAUGGAAUGGACAUUAAAGAAGGAAAAAAUGGGUACCUUUGUGGGAUUUGUAGGCAAAGUGGUCAUAAUCGGAAAAAAUGUCCCUCUAAGCCAAGGUGAAUGCAGAGACAUUAAAGCUAAUCGUUUCAAUCGAUAAAAAUAUUUAUUUUUUCAUUCCGUUUUUGUAAGAAGUCGUUAUUGGAUUUGUACCAAAAAAUAUACCGUACGUUUGAUGUUGGCUUUAAUCUACUAUGUCUAACAUUAUUGUUUAUCAAUUAAUCUUAUUUACAAUUAAGGACA